UACGUAGGGUGCAAGCGUUGUCCGGAAUUAUUGGGCGUAAAGAGCUCGUAGGCGGUUUGUCGCGUCUGCUGUGAAAACCCGAGGCUCAACCUCGGGCCUGCAGUGGGUACGGGCAGACUAGAGUGCGGUAGGGGAGAUUGGAAUUCCUGGUGUAGCGGUGGAAUGCGCAGAUAUCAGGAGGAACACCGAUGGCGAAGGCAGAUCUCUGGGCCGUAACUGACGCUGAGGAGCGAAAGCGUGGGGAGCAAACAGG
rnacentral:rRNA from 1 species